GAUCAUGGCUCAGGAUGAACGCUGGCGGCGUGCUUAACACAUGCAAGUCGAACGAAGCUAAGGGAGCUUGCUCCCAAAGCUUAGUGGCGGACGGGUGAGUAACGCGUGGGUAGCCUGCCCUAUAGAGGGGGAUAACGUUCGGAAACGAACGCUAAUACCGCAUAAACCAUAAGGAGCUGCAUGGCUCUGAUGGCAAAGAUUUAUCGCUAUAGGAUGGACCUGCGUUGGAUUAGCUAGUUGGUGAGAUAACAGCUCACCAAGGCGACGAUCCAUAGCCGGCCUGAGAGGGUGAACGGCCACAUUGGGACUGAGACACGGCCCAAACUCCUACGGGAGGCAGCAGUGGGGAAUAUUGCACAAUGGGCGCAAGCCUGAUGCCAGCGACGCCGCGUGAAGGAAGAAGGUCUUCGGAUUGUAAACUUCUAUCAGCAGGGAAGAAUAAAUGACGGUACCUGACUAAGAAGCCCCGGCUAACUACGUGCCAGCAGCGGC
rnacentral:rRNA from 1 species